rnacentral:lncRNA from 1 species
AGAUCUUGACUUAUGCUCUAAAUGCUUUGGUUUCAGAGAUAUAAGUCAAAAUCUACAUUUUACCCCUAUGUUCUAUUUUUUAGCCAUGGUGGCCAUCUUGGUUGGUUGGCUGGGUCACCAGACACAUUUUUGAAACUAGAUACCCCAAUGAUGAGUGUGGCCAAGUUUGCUUUAAUUUUGCCCAGUAGUUUCAGAGGUUAAGAUUUUUGUAAAAAGUUAACAACGACGGAUGCAAAGUGAUGAGAAAAGCUCACUUGGCCAAGGCCAGGUGAGCUAAAAAUGAGGUUCAGGUCAAAUGAACACUGCAGACACCACCUACACUAUGCAAUCAUUCCUAGCUACAUAUAUAGUUGAUAGAUUGAUUAUAGUAUCUGGGAAAAAGACAUUACCAUGAAAACUAACACUAACCAAUGAACAAAGAAUGAGGUCAAGGUCAGAUGACACAGGUACACCUUACAAUAUUCCAUACAAUACAUAUAUUUGACCCAAUUGUUUAUAGUACAAAUGUAGUAGUAUCUGAAAAAUAGACCAUACCUAAAAAAAAUAACAUUGUCCUAUGAACCAUGAUAAAGGAUGAGGGGCAGAUAAAACCUAACAGACAGACAUAUUCAUCCUACACACAUAGUAUAAACCAUAUAUACAGAUGAUCUAUUGCUAAUGCAGUAUUUGAGAAACCAACCAAACCACACAUAAAAUUAAUAUUGACAAAUUAAAUGAACCAUAAAUAUGAGACAUGAUAGCAGCCAGCACGAAGACAAUAGAUAAGGAAAAACUGUACAGUUGAUAAAAACUAGAGAACCUGUGUCUCGCUCACCUUGGUAUAUGUGCUUAUCAAACAAAGGACACUCUACAAAGUUAUCGGCUGAAGACAGACCAAGAUUCAGAUUAAUACUGCCGGACAGACAUGCAAAUCAUCUGACACACCAAAUAUAUUUUAAUUUAUGGAAGUUCCCUACUCAGUUUCAAAA